rnacentral:rRNA from 1 species
GCUUAAUUUGACUCAACGCGGGAAAUCUUACCGGGUCCGGACACACUGAGGAUUGACAGAUAUAUACCCCGUGAUUUUAUCGCGGGGUUGAAAGAUGCUAGUUCUUUCAUGAUUAUGUGAUAGGUGGUGCAUGGCCGUUCUUAGUUCGUGGAGUGAUCUGUCUGCUUAAUUGCGUAUCAAUAAUAGAGACCUAGUAUACGCGUAGACUCAUGCGGUAGUGACCCCCCUUCACAGGGCGCGUGUCGCACGUAUGUUAUACGCACAGGUCUCCGAUAGCAACGAACGUGACCGUACUCUAUUGUUGCAGCGACAAUACCUUUCAACGGGUAUUACCGCUGCUUAGCAAGAUUCGUCUUGCAUUAAACUAUAGAGACCGCUGUUUCUUCUUU